UAAAAAUGCUUCCUUCAUUGGUAUCACACAUUCACUAACUCGACCAAAAACCAUGUUGUGAAAGUCAUCCAUGCCUAUAGUCUAAGGUUUAAACCAAACAUCUUCUUCUCAUCCAAAUUUACUUCUCAUCCAAAUUUAGGAUAACAUUGAAGUCUCUCAUUAUGAACUAUGAUUCAUCAAAAAAAAAAUUAAAAAAAAAAUCUAAAAUCAUCUGACAACC
rnacentral:lncRNA from 1 species